GCACCCGUAGCUCAGAUGGAUAGAGCGCUGGCCUCCGAAGCCAGAGGUCACAGGUUCGAUUCCUGUCGGGUGCGCCA
rnacentral:tRNA from 1 species